rnacentral:rRNA from 1 species
AUUGAACGCUGGCGGCAGGCCUAACACAUGCAAGUCGAACGAGUGGCGGACGGGAGAGUUAUGUCUGGGAAACCGCCCGAUGGAGGGGGAUAACCACUGGAAACUGUAGCAAAUACCGCAUUCCCUCGGAUGUGCCCAGGUGGGAUUAGCUAGUGGGUGGGGUAACGGCUCACCUAGGCGACGCUCCCUAGGUGGUGGGAGAGGAUGACCGACAAACCGGGAACUGGGACACGGCCCAGACUCCUACGGGAGGAAGAAGUGGGGAAUAUUGGACAAUGGGCGAAAGCCUGAUGCGGCCAUGCCGCGGGUAGGAAGAAGGCCUUUGGUUUGUAAAGUACUUUAGGCGGGGAGGCGUUACCCGCAGAAGAAGCACCGGCUAACUCCGUGCCAGCAGCCGCGGUAAUUC